CACAUGCAGUCGAACGGUAACAUUUCUAGCUUGCUAGAAGAUGACGAGUGGCGGACGGGUGAGUAAUGCUUGGGAACUUGCCUUUGCGAGGGGGAUAACAGUUGGAAACGACUGCUAAUACCGCAUAAUGUCUUCGGACCAAACGGGGCUUCGGCUCCGGCGCAAAGAGAGGCCCAAGUGAGAUUAGCUAGUUGGUAAGGUAACGGCUUACCAAGGCGACGAUCUCUAGCUGUUCUGAGAGGAAGAUCAGCCACACUGGGACUGAGACACGGCCCAGACUCCUACGGGAGGCAGCAGUGGGGAAUAUUGCACAAUGGGGGAAACCCUGAUGCAGCCAUGCCGCGUGUGUGAAGAAGGCCUUCGGGUUGUAAAGCACUUUCAGUUGUGAGGAAAAGUUAGUAGUUAAUACCUGCUAGCCGUGACGUUAACAACAGAAGAAGCACCGGCUAACUCCGUGCCAGCAGCCGCGGUAAUACGGAGGGUGCGAGCGUUAAUCGGAAUUACUGGGCGUAAAGCGCACGCAGGCGGUUUGUUAAGCUAGAUGUGAAAGCCCCGGGCUCAACCUGGGAUGGUCAUUUAGAACUGGCAGACUAGAGUCUUGGAGAGGGGAGUGGAAUUCCAGGUGUAGCGGUGAAAUGCGUAGAUAUCUGGAGGAACAUCAGUGGCGAAGGCGACUCCCUGGCCAAAGACUGACGCUCAUGUGCGAAAGUGUGGGUAGCGAACAGGAUUAGAUACCCUGGUAGUCCACACCGUAAACGCUGUCUACUAGCUGUGUGUGUCUUUAAGGCGUGCGUAGCGAA
rnacentral:rRNA from 1 species